UCCUCUGCGGGCCACAGUGGGGAGGUUCUUGGGCCGCAGAUGGCCCGCGGGCCGGGACUUUGAGACCUCUGCUUUACUCAGUCUUAAUUUGUAAUGAAAGAAGUCCCAGGGGGACUCAAGCAAUUAGGUGCCAGGGCUCAAGCAAUUUUUUUACUUUAAUAACUGAUGCAGCAAGCCCAGAGGUGCCAGGGCUAUGAACUGCCAAGCCCAGAGGUGCCAGGGUUCGGCCCUGGCAAGCCUUGGCACAAAUUAAGCACUGCCUUUACUGGGUCUGGAUUCUGGUUGAGAGGAAACUUGAUCAAAGGAUCAAAGAGGGGAUGAGAGAGAAGAAUUCUAAUGGAAAAAACCAAGAUAAGAAAUGCAGCAGAGCGAAGGCAGUGUGCAAACAAAGCAGGGCCUAGGUGUCUAUUUUAAAGUCUCUGCACACAACAAAGCAGGCAAUCCCAGGCCUGGAGCAGCCACAGGAGUUUCAGAUAUCAGAGGAUGCCGUUCGUGGUCCGGUCCGUGCAGCAGCCCCGGAGACUUGCUGGAGAAAGGGGAAAGCCACCCCAUGGGGCCGCCAAACACAAUGCAUCUCUACCGCCCAAGCCCUUCUAUCAGCACCACUGCCACAACUUCAAGCAACCAAACGACUUGCAGAAUCACUCAACGGUGACAGCUGCACUUUUAAUACGGACCGGAGAUUCACCAGUUAAAAGUAUAAGAAGGAAAGAUCAACUACAAACAUCUCCGAAUAACUCAUGGACAAAGAAGAUUGUUCAGCAUCCCCUGUCCAUCUAUUGAAACCCUUCAGUUCACUCCAGGGCUGCAAGUAGGACAGGUUCAUGUGGCUUUUGACAAUGAGAAAUUUAAACCAGCAGCUCACCCACGAGCAGAUUAUUUGGGAAACUGGCCCUUUUCACAAUAUUGUCCUCUAUUGUAACAUGACUUUAUUUACAGAAUUUUCGCAUGUUAAGGGACAGGUUCCAAAACAUGAGCACACGCAAAUCCUGGAGGAGUGGAAGCAACCAUUCUUCAUUCUAUUGCUUUCUACACACAAAAGGUAUCUAGCCGCACUUGCCCUGUCCUCCUCCUCCCCCCACCCCACCCCCACUUCAGGUCCUGCCAUGCAUCAAAGCCUGAAAUUCAAAGAGGUAUCAGCCUGACCUCUUUGUCGAUGGGAGCAAUUUUAUACCUGCUUUUAACUGCACCUGCAAUAAAUUUCUGGAACAAAUAUCCUAUUUAGGUACCUGAGUUCCUGACUACACCCAUAGACCAGGUACUUAGAUGUCUACACUGCAGGUUUUAUGCCUGCAAAUUAACUGGGGAGUGAAAAUUAAUUGGGGAUAUUCAGAAUGUUUAGGUAUCUUAAUUUUGCAUUUCCAUACUUAAAAGUAUUUGGAUUUCUUUUAAGUUUAACCUUAGCUCAGAAGUCCCUAGGUUUAUAAUGCUUGUUUGGGGAUAAAUUCACCAACCCUAUAAUGUAUUUUACCCCCCAUUACUCACUGAUAUGUUCUCUAAAGCUUAACUCCAUCUUAAUAUAGCUAUCUGUCUGGGGAUUUCCUUGGCUUUUUAAAAUAAAGUACUGAAAUUUUCAUACACGAAUAGUAAACAAGAGAAAGAGCAAAGAGAAUGCUGUCAUGUGGCAUGUCUAGGGAUUUAAGAUAUGUCAUAUCAACAACCAUAUAUAUUUUUAAUUAUUUAAAUUUUAGGACCAGAUUCAUCCUUAUGCGCAGGCUGCUUCACCCCGCAUUGGAGCAGCACACAGCAGCCAGAGCAACCUGGUCAUUUAAACUGGAUUUACAGCUGCUUUACAUUGCCAAGGAAACACAAUGCAGCUGGAGUGUAUUACUUAGUUUCCCCCCUCCUUUCAGCUCUCCACAUUCCCCCACCUGUAUGCACCCCAGCUGCCUCCUGAACUCCUCCUCCAUAUGCACACACACCCCACCCUUGUUCCCUCUCUAGUGAGUAGAUCUGGUGCAAUGGGUAGUUCUGGAACAGAAAUUUCUAGGAUUAAUGGUCACUUUUUGUGAUUUUUCAUCACUGGACGUUUUUAUUUAGCAGAGGCGGGUGCAUGAAAACCUCCUUCCAGAGGCACUCACCAUUAAAUGGGCCUCCUUCAAAAUGGCUGCCAUCUCCCACUGUUCUCCUCAGGUCUGUGACCAGGGGGAGUAACACCAAGCAACCCUGAGGGUAGGUGAUCAGGAAAAGGCCACCACGAAAGGAGCCGGUGAGUAGAAGUAGUUGCCAUCUUUGCUGGGGGCAGUCUGUGGCUCUCAAUCUCACUGAGAGCAAUGGGAGCUAGCGAACAUUUUUAGAAGGUCACGUUAAGUGAGGGCAGCCUAUGGCCUCACUCUCAUUGGAAACAUUAGGGGAUGGCAGCUAUUUGAAAAGACAAUUCCGUGUGAGCUUCUCUGAAGGAAAACGUUAUCCGUCAGUCUCUUCUGAAGGAGACGCUUUAUUUUAUGAAGUUUCAUAGUAAAAAGUCUAGAAAAUUAUCUUCAAAAACUUCUUGUUGGCCCAGAGUCCGGCCGUAGUCCCCACCCUGCCAAGUUUGGUGCUGCUGGAUCCGGUGGAAAGGGAGGUGGCACAACAGCUGGGCUUUGGCCAGCACUCCAAAGCGAACACCCUGCUCUCGCUGUGAAAAUUGCCAUGGGCUCAUUGCCAUUCAGUCAGAGCUACCACGGAAGGAAGAGUGCCAGCUUCUAAAUUACUACCACCACCUGCUGCUCCCUCUGGGUUUCCUUUGAAGGUCACCCACCCAAGUAGUGAGCAGGCCUCAGCCUCCUUACCUGGUGAACCCUGAGGAGAUCACAGGCUGACAUGGUAUGGCUGCAGGCUAUUAUCUUUCUCUCCGUAGUUCCUGUCUGUUCUGUAUCUUCCUCUCAUUGAUGCAUCUUCACCUCCCUCUGCCUGAAGUGAUCCCUGUGGAGCAGCGCAGCAGCAGACGUGGUCUGUUAUUCAGCUCAGGAUUAAACUCUCUCUGCUUGGGUUAUUUGUGUGAUUGUUUCUCCUGUUUUCCCAGGGAGCAGUUCUCCUCCUCCCUUCCUGUCAUAUACAUUCUUUGGCGGAUAGUAAAAGAAUUUGGGUAGCAGACACCCAAUCCAAACUUUUCCUGUGGAUAAUCAGUGAAUCAAAUGACCGUAAGAAGAGGGUAAUUUUUGUCCUCCUUGGAGAAUUCACUGCAACAGAUAUUUUAUUACCUGCACAGAUCGAGUCAUUACCCAUGUGAGCUGUCAAGUCAUUGAGACAAUAACAGAGCCAUUGACUUGUAAUCGUCCUAAAUCAGUUACCUAUAAUAAGACCUCGCUGAAGUUGUGCUGAAUCCCAGCCUAAAUGAAUGUUUGGCUAUUGUGAGUCAAAUAUCUUGUGUUGCCUAAUCAAUGUAUUUGCUUGCAAGGUCUAAAAGACAAGGAUAUAUCAAAGCAGAGGACGCACUUACAAAUAAAUAUCCCUUUGAUUAUCA